GGCUACCGGACUUUCAGAGAUGGAUUGGUGCCUUCGGGAACUGUGAGACAGGUGCUGCAUGGCUGUCGUCAGCUCGUGUUGUGAAAUGUUGGGUUAAGUCCCGCAACGAGCGCAACCCUUAUCCUUUGUUGCCAGCGGUCCGGCCGGGAACUCAAAGGAGACUGCCAGUGAUAAACUGGAGGAAGGUGGGGAUGACGUCAAGUCAUCAUGGCCCUUACGACCAGGGCUACACACGUGCUACAAUGGCGCAUACAAAGAGAAGCGACCUCGCGAGAGCAAGCGGACCUCAUAAAGUGCGUCGUAGUCCGGAUUGGAGUCUGCAACUCGACUCCAUGAAGUCGGAAUCGCUAGUAAUCGUGGAUCAGAAUGCCACGGUGAAUACGUUCCCGGGUCUUGUACACACCGA
rnacentral:rRNA from 1 species